UACGUAGGGACCGAGCGUUGUCCGGAUUCAUUGGGCGUAAAGAGCUCGUAGGCGGCUGUUCAAGUCGAACGUGAAAACUCGGAGCUCAACUCCGAGCCUGCGUUCGAUACUGGACGGCUAGAGUCUGGUAGGGGGAUCUGGAAUUCCUGGUGUAGCGGUGGAAUGCGCAGAUAUCAGGAGGAACACCGGUGGCGCAAGGCG
rnacentral:rRNA from 1 species